AUACUUACCUGGCAGGGGAGAUACCAUGAUCAUGAAGGUAGUUUUCCCAGGGCAAGGCACUCCACGUGUGCUGAACCCUGCGAUUUCCCCAAAUGUGGGAAACUUGACUACAUAAUUUGUGGUAGUGGGGGAUUGCUUUUGCUCUUUCCACUA
ensembl:snRNA U1 U1 spliceosomal RNA